rnacentral:miRNA from 1 species
CAGCAGCAACAAGAUUAGCAUUAUCCAUCUGCAUUUUUAUAUAGACAUUGUCCACAGAAUUUGCAAAGAUCUGAGCCCUCAGCUCCUUCAUGGGUUUGUAAUAGUGGUCACAUUCU